UGAACGCAGCUUCCCAAGAAUCCAGUACAGUUUUGGAGACGUCCCAGAAUGAAGGCUGUCUUAGUUAUAUCUCAUCUCCUGAUAUGGGCAAAUUGUAACCAAAGCCUACCUGAAGCGCUGCAGCUACACGUGUGAAAUGCCUUAUCUUCCAAGAUCACAGAAGUCGCAAACACGGAAUGAACCCGAAUGGACGCCCUGCGCGAAAGGGCCUUUCGGGAAGAGCCAUAGGGAACGUGGAUUGUAUUAUGUCUACGGAAACUGUCAAGGCGGGGAGUGUUAUUAAUACACAGAUGGAUCUCUUCAUUUAACUACUGGUACGGGCUUCACACGGGUUUCUUACUUCUGACCACGGUUUCUGGUAUCACGUGUUAAGCAUUCUCCCUAGCAAAUGCACGUGCUCAUUAUAAGCAUUUCUAUGUUAUUGGUACUUAUAAUCUGCUGUCUUCCCAAGCCAGCGUGGGCUCGUUGCGCAGCAUGGCUGCGCCGUCUUGCACACCAUAAACACAACCAUCCACCAGCCAUCAUACCCCGUGCUGUAAUUUUAUUAUCCUCUGCUCGACCACAAUGGCAUGGCAAUAUGCCUACACAUAUGGUUUAAGAAAUUUACGACGACAAAUAUGUGUGAGGAUGAGUCGUGGCAAGUGAAUAGUAACGCAAUGACUUGGUGCAUGCUGCAAACAAAGCAACCAGAAGCUGAAGGUUGGGCAGAGAAUAACGACAUUCCAGCCUACAUGUGGCAAUAGGUCACAUGGGACUCUUGAAACUGGCUGACUAAAUUCAUCUGAAGACGGACGCAAAGAAGACUACCCACGUGGGACGGAACUACAGCUUCCCGUACAGCAUGGUAGCUACGUGAAAUGUUAACACAUUUCCGCAUCACGCCCUUCAUGCACAGGCAUUGGUCGGUUAUUUGUUCGAACGAAAUAAAUCGCUGUUGCUGCUGCUGA